ensembl:lincRNA
GAUGAGAGAUAUACGGUGCUAUUAUAAAUUUCUUAUAACUUGACCUCCAAGCAAGGACACAGGAACCACCGGGCUGCUGGCCACUUGCACUUUCCUUCCAGGCUGUUUGCAGUACCCGACUCCAAGGGUGGGAGCCCAGCCUGACAGUGGGUAGAACUGUCCCACCGGUGAGGCGCAGAGCCAAGGGGAACUACCAUAGACUGCAUCUGGAGUCAACGAUAAACGCCAACUGGUAAAACUUUAUCGCACUUUAAAAUGUACCUGGCAUUAUUCUGAGUACUUUUCACAAGAUCAUCAGUCAGUCUCCAAAAUGAAGCCGUAAGGGUUAAGGUUGAAGAAAACGGGCCACACAAAAGUUUCUGUUAGAACUGGGCUUAAACCCAGUUUAAGCUGAAGAGCCUAUGUGCUUAGCCAAUGUAGCCUCUUUGAGGGGGAGCGGAUGAGGUACCGAACACAGCCCAUUUAAUGUUUUGGGUUCCAGUAUGCUUCCAAGACUUCCGGGUCAAAUCCAAGCAUCUGCGGGAAGGCCUGGCAGGAGGUGGAUGGCAGAAUCAGGAAGACAGAGUUGGGAGACUCCUGUGGAGGUGGCAUUCAGGAGAAGCAGGGGUUCUCUUGGUCCACUUAGGCCUCAUCGUAUGAAGAUAUAAUUCUAAAUAUUUGGACCAGACUUUCUUGCGCCCCUGCCUCUGAGGAACUGAGUGCUGGCAUAGUUCCACUGAAAAAAAAAACACCCAUUUACAAGAGAGGAUAUCAGAAAUAUACAUCCUUUCAUCCGUGCCCCACAGGCUACAUGGAAAGAGAGAGCACCAGCUGUUUUUCUCAUGGUGAAUAAGGGUUACUUGGGGAAAUCUCUCUUCCUGUUUUUAUAUGGAGAACUAAAUUGUUGCAUAGCCAGUUAAUUUUGGUUAGGUCAACAGCAAAAGGUUAAUUAUUGGAACCUUCCUCUUUUGCCUGUGUGAGAUUAAUAGGAACCAAAAGAAAAAAGUGAAAUAUAGUGACUUAGUCUAGAAGGGCUGUUGAUUUGGGAUGUUUUUAUUUUGUUUUUAUUAUAUUUGGGGAGAUUUUACAAUUACUCAUCCUUGUCUUCUAGGAAAUAGUGUAAGAAGAGUUUGGAAGCAUGUGUGAUGUGAAUCUCAUCAGAUUCAGAAAGAAGUUUAUAAUAAGUUAGCAUUGAGAAGAAAAUAAAUUGCUUUUAUUGUAUAAGGGAACCAUGUUAUAAAAGCUAAAACCAUUGAGUAACGUAUGUGAUAACUUUGAAAUAAUGUUUUCCAACUCUGAUACCCUUCAAUUUGGCUAGAAUAAUGUUAUACCUUUUUAAAGUUUAUAUUAUGAUGUUCCAUUCUCUUUCUGACCUUGGGUUAAUUAACCCAUCAAAAGUCAUAUGGACUGAUUUCCUUCAAUGUACUAUAAUGUAUUUUUAUCCAUCUGCAUGCUAUUAUGUAACCUCAGAAUAAAGAAGCCAUAUCGCUGUUGAUAUAUUCCACUUCUGUCUUUGGAUUUGGUCAGCAUUACAUAUGGAAGGAGUAACCCACCCUGUAUUGUUAUAAGGAUGGUUUUUCAUUCAUAUCCUUGUUGCUCUUAAUAAAUGUCCUGAA